UACAUGCAAGUCGAACGGUGCCGGAGCAAUCCGGUACAGUGGCAAACGGGUGCGUAACGCGUAAGCAACCUGCCUCAUACUGGGGGAUAGCCCGGCGAAAGCUGGGGUAAACCCGCCCGGUUCCCAUGUAUCACCUGGUAGGUGGGAUAAACAUUUAUGGGUAUGAGAGGGGCUUGCGUCUGAUUAGCUAGUUGGGGGGGUAACGGCCCACCAAGGCGAUGAUCAGUAGGGGUUCUGAGAGGAUUGGCCCCCACAUGGGUACUGAGAUACGGACCCAACUCCUACGGGAGGCAGCAGUAGGGAAUAUUGGGCAAUGGAGGCAACUCUGACCCAGCCAUGCCGCGUGCAGGAUGACGGCGCUCAGCGUUGUAAGCUGCUUUUAUUGGUGAAGAACUGUGGGGAUGCGUCCUUACUUGACGGUAGCCAAGGAAUAAGCACCGGCUAACUCCGUGCCAGCAGCCGCGGUAAUACGGAGGGUGCAAGCGUUGUCCGGAUUUAUUGGGUUUAAAGGGUGCGUAGGUGGUGGUUUAAGUCUGGUUUGAAAGCAGGCGGCUUAACCGUCUGAUGUGGCUGGAAACUGGGCCACUUGAAUGGGUUGGCGGUAGCCGGAACGGGUCAUGUAGCGGUGAAAUGCAUAGAUAUGACCCAGAACACCG
rnacentral:rRNA from 1 species